rnacentral:rRNA from 1 species
GAACGGUAACAUUUCUAGCUUGCUAGAAGAUGACGAGUGGCGGACGGGUGAGUAAUGCUUGGGAACUUGCCUUUGCGAGGGGGAUAACAGUUGGAAACGACUGCUAAUACCGCAUAAUGUCUACGGACCAAACGGGGCUUAGGCUCCGGCGCAAAGAGAGGCCCAAGUGAGAUUAGCUAGUUGGUAAGGUAAUGGCUUACCAAGGCAACGAUCUCUAGCUGUUCUGAGAGGAAGAUCAGCCACACUGGAACUGAGACACGGUCCAGACUCCUACGGGAGGCAGCAGUGGGGAAUAUUGCACAAUGGGGGAAACCCUGAUGCAGCCAUGCCGCGUGUGUGAAGAAGGCCUUCGGGUUGUAAAGCACUUUCAGUUGUGAGGAAAAGUUAGUAGUUAAUACCUGCUAGCCGUGACGUUAACAACAGAAGAAGCACCGGCUAACUCCGUGCCAGCAGCCGCGGUAAUACGGAGGGUGCGAGCGUUAAUCGGAAUUACUGGGCGUAAAGCGCACGCAGGCGGUUUGUUAAGCUAGAUGUGAAAGCCCCGGGCUCAACCUGGGAUAGUCAUUUAGAACUGGCAGACUAGAGUCUUGGAGAGGGGAGUGGAAUUCCAGGUGUAGCGGUGAAAUGCGUAGAUAUCUGGAGGAACAUCAGUGGCGAAGGCGACUCCCUGGCCAAAGACUGACGCUCAUGUGCGAAAGUGUGGGUAGCGAACAGGAUUAGAUACCCUGGUAGUCCACACCGUAAACGCUGUCUACUAGCUGUUUGUGACUUUAAGUCGUGAGUAGCGAAGCUAACGCGCUAAGUAGACCGCCUGGGGAGUACGGCCGCAAGGUUAAAACUCAAAUGAAUCGACGGGGGCCCGCACAAGCGGUGGAGCAUGUGUUUAAUUCGAUGCAACGCGAAGAACCUUACCUACACUUGACAUGCUGAGAACUUUCAGAGAUGAUCGUGCUUCGGGAACUCAGACACAGUGCUGCAUGCUGUCGUCAGCUCGUGUCGUGAGAUGUGGGUAAGUCCCGCACGAGCGCAACCCUUGUCCUAGUGCCAGCCCUAAGUGGCACUCUAAAGAGAACUGCCGGUGACAAACCGCAGAAGAGGGGGACGACGUCAAGUCUUCAUGGGCCUUACUUGUAGGCUCCCACACCUGCUCACAUUGGAGUUUGCUAGGAGCAGACCACCGAAUGUUUGAUGCGAACCCUCACAAAUGUUCGUAGAUUCCGGCACUAGGGGAGCUGC